rnacentral:tRNA from 10 species
ACUCUAAUAGUUUAUUAAAACAUU